rnacentral:rRNA from 1 species
AUUGAACGCUGGCGGCAGGCCUAACACAUGCAAGUCGAACGAGUGGCGGACGGGUGAGUAAUGUCUGGGAAACUGCCUGAUGGAGGGGGAUAACUACUGGAAACGGUAGCUAAUACCGCAUACCAUCGGAUGUGCCCAGAUGGGAUUAGCUAGUAGGUGGGGUAAAGGCUCACCUAGGCGACGAUCCCUAGCUGGUCUGAGAGGAUGACCGGCCAGCCUGGAACGGAGGCAGGGACCAGACUCCUACGUGAGGCAGGAGUGAGUGAGAAUGCACGAUGGGCGCGAGCAUGAUUCAGCCAUGCCGCGUGUAUGAAGAAGGCCGUCGUUUGGGAUAUUACUUUCUGCGGGGAGGCGUUACCCACAGGAGAAGCACCGGCUAACUCCGUGCCAGCAGCCGCGGUAAUUC